UUCCUGGUGAUUCAGAUGGUUAAGAAUCUGCCUGCAAUGCAAGAGACCCAGGUUCAAUCCCUGGCUAGGGAA
rnacentral:tRNA from 1 species